rnacentral:rRNA from 1 species
AGUAAAUAAAGCGUACACGGUGGAUGCCUAGGCAGUCAGAGGCGAUGAAGGACGUGCUAAUCUGCGAAAAGCGUCGGUAAGCUGAUGAGAAGCACUAUUAGCCGGCGAUAUCCGAAUGGGAAAACCCGAUGCAACAAAUUGCAUCAUUGUUAAGUAAAUAAAUAGCUUGGCAAAGCAAACCAGGGGAACUGAAACAUCUCAGUACCCUGAGGAAAAGAAAUCAAUUGAGAUUCCCUCAGUAGUGGCGAGCGAACAGGGAACAGCCUAGAGCCAUCAUCAACUUACGCAUCAAAAGAACGGUCUGGAAAGUCCGGCUACAAAGGGUGAUAGCCCCGUACUCAAAGGUGCGCUUGUUGUGAGCUCAACAAGUAGGGCGGGACACGUGAUAUCCUGUCUGAAGAUGGGGGGACCAUCCUCCAAGGCUAAAUACUCCUGACUGACCGAUAGUGAACUAGUACCGUAAGGGAAAGGUGAAAAGAACCCCGGUGAGGGGAGUGAAAUAGAACCUGAAACCGUGUACGUACAAGCAGUAGGAGCAUCUUUUCUUAAGGUGUGACUGCGUACCUUUUGUAUAAUGGGUCAGCGACUUAUAUUCUGUAGCGAGGUUAACCGUAUAGGGGAGCCACAGGGAAACCGAGUCUUAACUGGGCGUCUUUAGUUGCAGGAUAUAGACCCGAAACCCGGUGAUCUAGCCAUGAGCAGGUUGAAGGUUAGGUAACACUAACUGAAGGACCGAACCGACUAAUGUUGAAAAAUUAACGGAUGACUUGUGGCUAGGGGUGAAAGGCCAAUCAAACCGGGAGAUAGCUGGUUCUCCCCGAAAGCUAUUUAGGUAGCGCCUCGUGAAUUUAUCUACGGGGGUAGAGCACUGUUUCGGUUAGGGGUCCAUCCCGGAUUACCAAUCCGAUGCAAACUGCAAAUACCGUAGAAUAUUAUCACGGGAGACACACGGCGGGUGAUAACGUCCGUCGUGAAGAGGGAAACAACCCAGACCGCCAGCUAAGGUCCCAAAGUCAUGGUUAAGUGGGAAACGAUGUGAGCAGGCCCAGACAGCCAGGAUGUUGGCUUAGAAGCAGCCAUCAUUUAAAGAAAGCGUAAUAGCUCACUGGUCGAGUCAACUUGCGCGGAAAAUGUAACGGGGCUAAAACCAUGCACCGAAGCUGCGGCAACGGACGUAUCACUUAAAGUACCUAAACAUAAAUACAUAAUUACAUAUCACACAACAAAGGCACUUUAAGUGAUACGUCCGUUGGGUAGGGGAGCGUUCUGUAACGCCUGCGAAGGCAACCCGUGAGGGUUGCUGGAGGUAUCAGAAGUGCGAAUGCUGACAUAAGUAACGAUAAAGCGGGUGAAAAACCCGCUCGCCGAAAGACUAAGGGUUCCUGUUCAACGCUAAUCGAAGCAGGGUAAGUCGAUCCCUAAGGCGAGGCCGAAAGGCGUAGUCGAUGGUAAACAGGUUAAUAUUCCUGUACUAGGUGUGACUGCGAAGGGGGGACGAAGAAAGCUAGGUUCGCCGGGCGACGGUUGUCCCGGUUUAAGCGUGAAGGUGGAAUAAGCAGGCAAAUCCGCUUAUUCAUUAACACUGAGGCGUAAUGACGAGCCACCAAAAGGUGGUAAAGGCAACUGAUGCUACGCUUCCAGGAAAAGCCUCUAAGCACCAAAAUCACACCAAAUCGUACCCCAAACCGACACAGGUAGUCAGGUAGAGAAUACUAAGGCGCUUGAGAGAACUCGGGUGAAGGAACUAGGCAAAAUAGUGCCGUAACUUCGGGAAAAGGCACGCUAGCAUGUAAGUAAAAGGUCUUGCACCUCUAGCUGAGAGCUAGCCACAGAUACCAGCUGGCUGCAACUGUUUAUUAAAAACACAGCACUGUGCAAACACGAAAGUGGACGUAUACGGUGUGAAGCCUGCCCGGUGCCGGAAGGUUAAUUGAUAGAGUUAUCACUUAUGAGAAGCCCUUGAUCGAAGCCCCGGUAAACGGCGGCCGUAACUAUAACGGUCCUAAGGUAGCGAAAUUCCUUGUCGGGUAAGUUCCGACCUGCACGAAUGGCGUAAUGAUGGCCAGGCUGUCUCCACCCGAGACUCAGUGAAAUUGAACUCGCCGUGAAGAUGCGGCGUACCCGCGGCAAGACGGAAAGACCCCGUGAACCUUUACUAUAGCUUGACACUGAACAUUGACUCUUGAUGUGUAGGAUAGGUGGGAGGCUUUGAAGUGCAGACGCCAGUCCGCAUAGAGCCAACCUUGAAAUACCACCCUUUAAAUGUUUAAUGUUCUCACUCAGACCCGUAAUCCGGGUCGAAGACAAUGUCUGGUGGGUAGUUUGACUGGGGCGGUCUCCUCCCAAAAUGUAACGGAGGAGCACAAAGGUUAGCUAAUCACGGUCGGAAAUCGUGAGAUUAGUGCAAAGGCAUAAGCUAGCUUAACUGCGAGAGCGACAACUCAAGCAGAUGCGAAAGCAGGUCUUAGUGAUCCGGUGGUUCUGUAUGGAAGGGCCAUCGCUCAACGGAUAAAAGGUACUCCGGGGAUAACAGGCUAAUACCGCCCAAGAGUUCAUAUCGACGGCGGUGUUUGGCACCUCGAUGUCGGCUCAUCACAUCCUGGGGCUGAAGCAGGUCCCAAGGGUAUGGCUGUUCGCCAUUUAAAGUGGUACGUGAGCUGGGUUUAGAACGUCGUAAGACAGUUCGGUCCCUAUCUGCCGUGGGCGCUGGAAGAUUGAGAGGGGCUACUCCUAGUACGAGAGGACCGGAGUGGACGCACCGCUGGUGUUCGGGUUGUCAUGCCAAUGGCAUUGCCCGGUAGCUACGUGCGGAAGAGAUAACUGCUGAAAGCAUCUAAGCAGGAAGCUUGCCUCAAGAUAAGUCUUCCCUGAGGCCUAAAACCUCCUGAAGGGACGUUAAAGACGAUGACGUUGAUAGGUCGGGUGUGUAAGCGUUGCGAAGCGUUGAGCUAACCGAUACUAAUGACCCGUGAG